rnacentral:rRNA from 1 species
AUUGAACGCUGGCGGCAUGCCUUACACAUGCAAGUCGAACGGUAACAGGUUAAGCUGACGAGUGGCGAACGGGUGAGUAAUAUAUCGGAACGUGCCCAGUCGUGGGGGAUAACGUAGCGAAAGCUACGCUAAUACCGCAUACGAUCUACGGAUGAAAGCGGGGGAUCGCAAGACCUCGCGCGAUUGGAGCGGCCGAUAUCAGGUUAGGUUGUUGGUGAGGUAAAAGCUCACCAAGCCUGCGAUCUGUAGCUGGUCUGAGAGGACGACCAGCCACACUGGAACUGAGACACGGUCCAGACUCCUACGGGAGGCAGCAGUGGGGAAUUUUGGACAAUGGACGAAAGUCUGAUCCAGCAAUGCCGCGUGCAGGACGAAGGCCUUCGGGUUGUAAACUGCUUUUGUACGGAACGAAACGGUGAGCUCUAAUACAGUUUGCUAAUGACGGUACCGUAAGAAUAAGCACCGGCUAACUACGUGCCAGCCGCCGCGGUAA